GGACCCGUAGCUUAAUUGGAUAGAGUUUCUGACUACGGAUCAGAUGGUUGGGAGUUCGAGUCUCCCCGGGUUCA
rnacentral:tRNA from 1 species